CUCCUACGGGAGGCAGCAGUGGGGAAUCUUGCGCAAUGGGCGAAAGCCUGACGCAGCAACGCCGCGUGCGGGAAGACGGCCUUCGGGUUGUAAACCCCUUUCAGGAGGGACGAAGCGAAAGUGACGGUACCUCCAGAAGAAGCCCCGGCCAACUACGUGCCAGCAGCCGCGGUAAUACGUAGGGGGCGAGCGUUGUCCGGAUUUAUUGGGUUUAAAGGGUGCGUAGGCGGAUUAUUAAGUCAGUGGUGAAAGUUUGCGGCUCAACCGUAAAAGUGCCAUUGAUACUGGUAGUCUUGAGUACAGUAGAGGUAGGCGGAAUUUAUGGUGUAGCGGUGAAAUGCAUAGAUACCAUAAAGAACACCGAUAGCGAAGGCAGCUUACUAUACUGAGACUGACGCUGAGGCACGAAAGCGUGGGGAGCGAACAGGAUUAGAUACCCUGGUAGUCCACGCUGUAAACAAUGAAGACUCGCUGUUGGCGAUACACAGCCAGUGGCCAAGCGAAAGCGUUAAGUCUUCCACCUGGGGAGUACGAUCGCAAGAUUGAAACUCAAAGGAAUUGACGG
rnacentral:rRNA from 1 species